rnacentral:rRNA from 1 species
UACAGAGGUCCCGAGCGUUGUUCGGAUUCAUUGGGCGUAAAGGGUGCGUAGGCGGCUUCCUAAGUUUGAUGUGAAAUCCUGGGGCUCAACCCUGGAACUGCAUUGAAUACUGGGAGGCUAGAGUACUGGAGAGGAAACUGGAAUUUACGGUGUAGCAGUGAAAUGCGUAGAGAUCGUAAGGAAGACCAGUGGCGAAGGCGAGUUCCUGGACAGUUACUGACGCUGAGGCACGAAGGCCAGGGGAGCAAACGGG